rnacentral:rRNA from 1 species
CAGUAGCCGCGGUAAUACGUAGGGUGCAAGCGUUAAUCGGAAUUACUGGGCGUAAAGCGUGCGUAGGCGGUUCGCUAAGACAGAUGUGAAAUCCCCGGGCUUAACCUGGGAACUGCAUUUGUGACUGGCGGGCUAGAGUAUGGCAGAGGGGGGUGGAAUUCCACGUGUAGCAGUGAAAUGCGUAGAGAUGUGGAGGAAUACCGAUGGCGAAGGCAGCCCCCUGGGCCAAUACUGACGCUCAUGCGCGAAAGCGUGGGGAGCAAACAGGAUUAGAUACCCCUGUAGUCCCUGUCUCUUAUAC